rnacentral:rRNA from 1 species
UAGUCAUAUGCUUGUCUCAAAGAUUAAGCCAUGCAUGUCUAAGUAUAAGCAUUAUACAGUGAAACUGCGAAUGGCUCAUUAAAUCAGUUAUAGUUUAUUUGAAGAUAAUACCAUUAGGAUAACCGUGGUAAUUCUAGAGCUAAUACUUGCUUUGGGCUUUAUUAGAUAUGAAUCACAAUAACUUCAGAUCGUCUUUGACGCUUCAUUCAAAUUUCUGCCCUAUCAGCUAGAUGGCACGGUAGUGGCGUACCAUGGCAGUAACGGGUAACGGGGAAUU